rnacentral:rRNA from 1 species
AACGAACGCUGGCGGCAGGCCUAACACAUGCAAGUCGAGCGAGGACUUCGGUCCUAGCGGCGCACGGGUGCGUAACGCGUGGGAAUCUGCCCUUUGGUUCGGAAUAACAGUUGGAAACGACUGCUAAUACCGGAUGAUGACGAAAGUCCAAAGAUUUAUCGCCAGAGGAUGAGCCCGCGUAGGAUUAGCUAGUUGGUGUGGUAAAGGCGCACCAAGGCGACGAUCCUUAGCUGGUCUGAGAGGAUGAUCAGCCACACUGGGACUGAGACACGGCCCAGACUCCUACGGGAGGCAGCAGUGGGAAUAUUGGACAAUGGGCGAAAGCCUGAUCCAGCAAUGCCGCGUGAGUGAUGAAGGCCUUAGGGUUGUAAAGCUCUUUUACCCGGGAUGAUAAUGACAGUACCGGGAGAAUAAGCUCCGGCUAACUCCGUGCCAGCCGCCGCAGUAA